rnacentral:rRNA from 1 species
AGAGUUUGAUCCUGGCUCAGAUUGAACGCUGGCGGAAUGCUUUACACAUGCUAGUCGAACGGCAGCACGGACUUCGGUCUGGUGGCGAGUGGCGAACGGGUGAGUAAUAUAUCGGAACGUAUCCAAUAAUGGGGGAUAACUAAUCGAAAGGUUGGCUAAUACCGCAUACGCCCUACGGGGGAAAGCAGGGGAUCUUCGGACCUUGCGUUAAUGGAGCGGCUGAUAUCUGAUUAGCUAGUUGGUGAGGUAAAGGCUCACCAAGGCGACGAUCAGUAGCUGGUCUGAGAGGACGACCAGCCACACUGGAACUGAGACACGGUCCAGACUCCUACGGGAGGCAGCAGUGGGGAAUUUUGGACAAUGGGCGCAAGCCUGAUCCAGCCAUUCCGCGUGAGUGAAGAAGGCCUUCGGGUUGUAAAGCUCUUUCGCAAGGGAAGAAAACUUACUUUUUAAUAAAGAGUGAGGUUGACGGUACCUUGAUAAGAAGCACCGGCUAACUACGUGCCAGCAGCCGCGGUAAUACGUAGGGUGCGAGCGUUAAUCGGAAUUACUGGGCGUAAAGCGUGCGCAGGCGGUUUUGUAAGUCAGAUGUGAAAUCCCCGAGCUCAACUUGGGAACUGCGUUUGAAACUACAAGACUAGAAUAUGUCAGAGGGGGGUAGAAUUCCACGUGUAGCAGUGAAAUGCGUAGAGAUGUGGAGGAAUACCAAUGGCGAAGGCAGCCCCCUGGGAUAAUAUUGACGCUCAUGCACGAAAGCGUGGGGAGCAAACAGGAUUAGAUACCCUGGUAGUCCACGCCCUAAACGAUGUCUACUAGUUGUUGGUGGAGUAAAAUCCAUGAGUAACGCAGCUAACGCGUGAAGUAGACCGCCUGGGGAGUACGGUCGCAAGAUUAAAACUCAAAUGAAUUGACGGGGGCCCGCACAA